rnacentral:lncRNA from 1 species
CUCAUCAAUACUUGCUCCAUGCUGUGCUCUUGAACAUGUACUGAUUUGUCUUAGCCUGUUAAAAGCCAGGCAAAAAAAGAUGAAUAGAAACAGUUCAAAUAUAGGCUGAGAUUUAAACUAGAGGUGUCCUCAAAAGCUGGGAUUUUCAGGUCUGCUUUCUCCUUCUGAAAAACCCAUCAGUGCUGUUGAUGAGGAUCAUGUGAAGUUGGUGUGAAAAAUCUGUGAAAAGCCUCAGUUUGUCCCAACCAAGUCCUGAACCUUGGUGUAAACCUGGGGAGAUUUAUGGUUUCAAGAUGAAAUCAGCCCUCUUAUCUGCUUCUUGCCUGAACUCUAAGAUCACUUCUCCCUGACUGGGGAGGAUUAGUGGAAGCAGCUUCUUCCCUCUGAGCAGGAGAGCAGCUGCUCUCUGCCCGUUUCUACCUCUCAACAGAGAGAAGCAAAAGGUUUGCCUUCUUCUUGCAUUUUGAAAAGCCUUCCUCCUCACCCCCCAGUGAAGAGAGAUAUAUGCCAAAAUCUUCAGAAUGUUCCAGGCUGAAAGAGAC